AAAAAAAAAUUAAGACCAUUAGAUGGAGACUAUGAAGGAUUACAAAACAUCAAAAUGGAUCUGGUUCUCUGAAGAUUCACUACUUGACCAUACAAACAUUCAUAGGAAACAGCUCUAUCUACUAAAAAGCCUUACAUGGUAAAGAAAUGCAGACAAAGGAGAACCCAACUUGUAACUUGCCAGUUCCUGGAACCUUUAACACCUAUGCAACUAUUAUUAAUAUGCUGAAAUCAUGGACCCCCUGCACACUUAGCAUCACUGCAGUAGGAAAAAAGUACCAGAAUUGAUGGAUUCUAGAGACAAAAGAGUUUCUACAGAAGCAACAGAUAUAUGCAGGCUGAUGGAGAAGUUGUCUACCACAGAAUGGCUGCAAAACAUUUGAGUAAAAACUCUAAA